AGUGAUAUGCUUGUCUCAAAGACUAAGCCAUGCAUGUGUCAGUAUAUAUUGUGCAUUAGAAAACUGCGGAAAGCUCAUUAGAAAAGUGUAAAUGAAAAGUUGUUGUAAUAAUACGCAUACCUUCUGUAAUUCUGAGGCUAAUGCGUGCAGGCAAUAAGACAGUUCCAAAACAUGCACAUAAUAAGUUGUAAUAUCACCAAUUUAUUGGGUUGAUGUGCAACACAAUUAUGUAAGCUGUUGCUUGUCACAAAAGCGAUUAUAUUCUUACCUAUCAGCUUGCGAUGAUACGCUAGUGACGUAUUAUGGCUGUUACGGGUGGCGAAGAAUUAGGGUUUGAUCUCGGAGAGGACGCUUGAGAAAUAGCGGCUACAUCUAAGGAAGGCAGCAGGCGCGCAAAUUACCCAAUCUUGACACAAGGAGGUAGUGACAAGAAAUAACUGUGUGUGGCUCUAUGCUGCACAUCCGGAAUGUGUGACAGGUUAAGCGUGUUGCGAGUAGCUAUUGGAGGGCAAGUCUGGUGCCAGCAGCCGCGGUAAUUCCAGCUCCAAGAGUGUAUAUUAAAGUUGUUGCGGUUGAAAAGCUCGUAGUUGGAUUUAUGCUAUGCUGGUACAGUCGACCCCCUGGGUAGGACUUGUAUUGUUGCAUUGCACAUUGUAGAAUUUUUGUACGUUUUUCAGUAAAUGUGCAGAAUGCUGCUUAGUUACUUUGAGGAAAGUGGAGUGUCACACGCAGGUUGCGCCGUGAACAUGCUAGCAUGGCAUGACGCUGUAUGACUACGAGUCUUUUUGAAUGGUUUCGGGACACGUGGUAAUGAUUGAUAUGAGGUGUUGGGGAUACUCAUAUUUGACAGUUAGAGGUGAAAUUCUUGGAUUUGUCAAAGAUGAACAAAUGCAAUAGCAUUUAUCAUGGAUGUUUCAUUUGAUCAAGAACGAAAGUUAGGGGAUCGAAGACGAUCAGAUACCGUCCUAGUCUUAACCAUAAACUAUGCCAACUGGAAAUUGGAAUAUAUGGAGAGAAAAUACAUUCAGUAUUGUGCCUGAAAAGAGUAAGUGUGUGGGCUCCGGGGGGAGUAUAGUUGCAAGACUGAAACUUAAAGGAAUUGACGGAAGGGCACCACCAGGAGUGGAGCCUGCGGCUUAAUUUGACUCAACACGGGAAAUCUCACCAAGUCCAGACAUACGAAGGAUUGACAGAUUAAUCGCUCUUUCUCGAUUGUAUGGGUGGUGGUGCAUGGCCGUUCUUAGUUGGUGGAGUGAUUUGUCUGGUUAAUUCCGUUAACGAACGAGAUCCUAUUCUGCUAACUGUUGCAACAGUCUUUGGAAUGUUGGUACACUUAGAGGGACAUUGCGUGAGUAAUGCACGGAAGAGUCGGGCAAUAACAGGUCUGUGAUGCCCUUAGAUGUCCUGGGCUGCACGCGCGCUACAAUGGCACACGCCCCAAUGUAUCUAUGUCUGACAAGAAUAUAGGAUCAAGCAACGAUGCCGUGCCGGGAAUAGAUGAUUGUAAUUUUUUAUCUUGAACGAGGAAUUCCUAGUAAGGACAGAUCAACAAUCUGUGCUGAUUACGUCCCUGCCCUUUGUACACACCGCCCGUCGCUCCUACCGAUUGAGUAAUCCGGUGAAUGGUGACGAUUGUCCGAACGCUCCUGAGCCUCGUGCAACAAGCAUCGUUAACCUCACUACUUAGAGGAAGGAGAAGUCGUAACAAGGUUUCC
rnacentral:rRNA from 1 species